UUUAAUACAUUGAAUUCAGCAAUACCUUAAUUUUAAAUGGUUGCAUCUUUAUACAUUGGAACUUACACCUAUUCAAAUCUUUAUAAAUGAACACACACCCCCCAUAGACUCACAAACCAACCAUUCUUGUAUUCAUUAGAAACCACACUUACAAAAUUAUUUCCGUCUUCUUAUCCAAAACCAUAACCAUGGCAAGAGAUAACAGUGACAUAUUCUCUUUGUCAUCAGAAUCACUUCUUCCCGCAAUCAUUUCUAUCAUACUCUUAGCCAUUGCAACAUGUAUCCUUAACAAAAAGUGGUUAAGGAUACGACAAUCCGAUGCGAACUUCGACUUCAACGAAAACUUUUUUGUUGAUUCAACUUCGGGUGAAAUCAAACAAGGACAGAGAGAAGUUUUCAUCGACUUCAUCAAAAAUUGGAUUGCACAAUUCACUAGCCGUCGAAUUAACAAGUUUUCUCUCACUGUUUCAAACCCUCAAACUUGUGGGGAAACAAUCGAACGUUGUGUUGCUUUCGUGACACAACGGGGUGUGAAAGAUUUAACUCUUGAUUUCUCUAAUCCCAAAUGGAAUGAGAAUGAUUUGGAUGAUAAACAUGCGCUGUUCCAAUUGCCAACACAUGUUUAUCAACUCGGAUCGUUGCUCAAAUCACUAAAAUUGUAUUCAUGCAGUUUUGAUAUGCCGGAUAUUCUUAACUUUGGUGCACUCAAAGACGUUUCUUUGGGUUGGAUUGAAGUUCCCAUGAAUACUCUCAAAACGUUGUUAUCAACUUGCAAGACUAUUGAGAAUUUGAGUUUGAAGAGGUGUUGGAAUUUGGUGGACUUUGAUUUAAAAGAUAUUGUACAACUUGGGUUAAAAAGAAUGGUGCUAAACAAGUGUGAUACACAGUGUAUCAAAUUAGAUGCACCAAAUCUUAAAUUCUUCAAGUAUUCUGGGGAUGUGUUUACUUCAGAGAUAUGUGUAAGUCCAAAUGUUAUAGAAUAGGUAGACAUUGGUUUUUCCACAGAACCAAAAUUUUAUAAACUUCAUGCCAAUGGACUAUGUCAAAUACUGAUUGAUUUCAAAGAUGCUAAGAUUCUAACAGUUUGCAGCUAUCUACUCCAGGUACAAUUUUAUUCAUUUAGUUGACAUCCAAUUUGUGAUUAUAGAUUAAUUUUACAUUGAUAUUUGUUAUUGUGUUUAUUUCUAAACAUUUUGUCUUUUGUUAUGCACAAAAAGGUUGCUCCAUCCGCAGGUGACCUAGUAACAGUGAGUGCAAAAACUUAUUUGAAUGUAAGACAUUUGAUUCUAAAAACACAAAUGCAUAAAUAUGAGCUUUGUGGAUUUGAAUUCUUGCUUAACAGUUGCCCGUUGCUAGAAAAACUCACAUUGGACAUAAGUCAACAAGUUAUAUUUAAGGACUAUAGACUUCCCUAUCUUACAGACCUUGAGAAAUUUUGGCAAACGCGUCGAGUGUUUGCUCAAUGCUUGCAAAAUACUUUGAAGAUGAUAGAAAUAUUUGGAUCGAGAGCCACAAACCAAGAACUUAGGACUUGUUGCUUUCUAAUGAAAGGGAAAGCUUUGGAACAGAUUAAUAUUAAGUUGUCGAAUGAAGAUGGAAAUAUUGAGUUUCACCGUCGUCGUGCACAACGAUUACUCAAAGCUCCGGAGCGUUCAGAGAAUUUGCAAAUAACAAUUGAUUGAUGAUAAUCA